rnacentral:rRNA from 1 species
GAUGAACGCUGGCGGCGUGCCUAAUACAUGCAAGUCGAGCGAACAGACGAGGAGCUUGCUCCUCUGACGUUAGCGGCGGACGGGUGAGUAACACGUGGAUAACCUACCUAUAAGACUGGGAUAACUUCGGGAAACCGGAGCUAAUACCGGAUAAUAUAUUGAACCGCAUGGUUCAAUAGUGAAAGACGGUUUUGCUGUCACUUAUAGAUGGAUCCGCGCCGCAUUAGCUAGUUGGUAAGGUAACGGCUUACCAAGGCAACGAUGCGUAGCCGACCUGAGAGGGUGACAGGCCACACGGGAACUGAGACACGGUCCAGACUCCUACGGGAGGCAGCAGUAGGGAAUCUUCCGCAAUGGGCGAAAGCCUGACGGAGCAACGCCGCGUGAAUGAUGAAGGUCUUCGGAUCGUAAAACUCUGUUAUUAGGGAAGAACAAAUGUGUAAGUAACUAUGCACGUCUUGACGGUACCUAAUCAGAAAGCCACGGCUAACUACGUG